UACUUCUCCGAAAUGCCAUGGCUUGCUAUUCCCUUCUCUGAUACGGAGACCCGCCAACGUCUUAAGGAAGUGUUCAAAGUAAGAGGGAUCCCUAAUCUUGUCAUUUUUGAUACGAAUGGCAAGGUUUCAUGCGAUGAUGGAGUCAGCACUGUCAUGGAACAUGGCGUGGAUGGGUAUCCGUUCAACCUUGAUAGACUGAUUUUCCUGAAAGAGCAAGAAGAGAAAGCUAAGAAGAAUCAAACCAUAAGCUCUAUCUUGGUUUCCAGCUCACGUGAUUAUGUGAUUUCAAAUGAUGGAAAAAAGGUAGAUGGUUAUUCAAUUAGCUAGUUUUGAAAUUGAAUUGAUGAUGCCAUAAUUCACAUUUUUGCUAUCUGUAAUGGCAGAUCCCUUUGUUGGACCUUGAAGGGAAAUUGGUUGGCUUGUAUUUUUCAAUCUAUACGAUGUGCUGUGAAUUCACUCCAAAAUUAGUGGAAUUGUAUAAGACGCUCAAGGAAAGAAGAGAGAACUUUGAAGUAGUCCUAAUAUCUCUAGACGACGAAGAAGAAGACUUCAAAGAGAGUUUUGAGACAAUGCCUUGGUUGGCAUUGCCUUAUAAGGACAAGAGCUGCGAGAAGCUAGUGCGGUAUUUUGAACUUAGAACCAUUCCUAAUCUUGUCAUGAUUGGCCAAGAUGGGAAGACUUUGAACCCAAAUGUAGUGAACUGAUCGAAGAACAUGGUAUUGAAGCCUACCCAUUUACACCGGAAAAGCUUGACGAGCUAGCUGCAAUUGAAAAGGCAAAACUGGAAUCGCAGACGCUUGAGUCAGUUUUGGUUAAUGGGGAAAAUGAUUUUGUGAUUGACAAAAGUGGCUCCAAGGUAAUUGUUUUUGUUCUAUGCUAACCUCGCAUGUUGUUACCGCAUUACUUUCAAUAACUUUCUUAUGAUCACGAAUUGAAUUCAUUAGCAAAGGUUUUUUUUUUUUUUUAUCAUUCAAAUGGUGUGCUCUUGAUUAGGUCCCAGUGUCUGAACUAGUUGGAAAGAACAUUCUUCUUUACUUCUCAGCUCAAUGGUGCCCUCCAUGUCGUGCCUUUUUACCCAAGCUAAUUGAAGCAUACCACACAAUUAAAAGAAAAGACAAUGCAUUUGAGGUGAUCUUCAUCUCAAGUGACAGCGAUCAAUCCACCUUUGACGAGUUCUAUUCAGAAAUGCCUUGGUUAGCCCUUCCAUUUGGUGAUGAAAGGAAACAAAUCCUGAGUCGGAAAUUCAAAAUUCAAGGCAUUCCUGCAGCUGUAGCGAUUGGCCCAAGUGGCCGGACCAUUACCAAGGAAGCUCGGAUGCACCUGACAGCUUACGGGGCAGAUGCUUUUCCAUUUACCGAGGAACAUCUAAAGCAAUUGGAGGAGGAGAUUGAGGAAAAGGCAAAGGGGUGGCCAGAGAAAGUGAAACACGAACUUCAUACUGAGCAUGAGCUGUUACGUACUAAACGCAAAACAUAUAUUUGCGAUGGCUGUGGGGAAACAGGAAAUAGUUGGUCUUUCCAUUGCAAAGAAUGUGACUUUGAUCUUCACCCCAAGUGUGCUUUGAAGGAAGAUGAAGAUACUGGAAGUGAAAAGGGAAAUGAAGGAUGGAACUGCGAUGGAGAUGUGUGCCGCCGAGCCUAAGCAGGCAAGCGCUCCUUGUAUCUGGUUUUUUGGGCUUUCUGCUGUAAUAAGCGUGCGAUGUAAGGUGUUUGUUGCAUGUGUGUGAAGAUGUGGAUGUCUUUCCUGUUAUUGAUAUGUAAUUAAGAGGUGUGUUGCUUAAGGAUUUUCAUGUCCUGUAUUUCGAUACGAAGAAUAAAUAACCGGAUUGGCUAGGUUUAUGUGAAUCCUGUGACCCAUUUGAAACUUGGGAAUCCAUGGUUGCUUGUUGUUCUCAAAUCUCCAUCACUUGUUAUGAGGUUUUCGUCAUUCGUAGAGGAAAAUGCUUAUCAGUCCUGUCUAAAAAUUGGUUCCAUUGCGCCACUCUCUUUAUUCUUUUUGGCUGGAUGAAGCAGCAGCAGCUUCACCUCCGGUGCAAAUAUUCCUGUAAUUGUUUUGCAGAUUAAAAAAAAAGAGGGCUGAUUGUGACUUAACCAACAUUAUACUAUGAAACCUUUCUUAACUGAUGUGUACUUGACAAUGAAAUCGAGCAUGUGGAAAUUGACAAAUAAAAAAUAAUAUUAUUAUAAUAUAUUUUUAAAUAAAAAAUAUUUUAAAAAAUCCAUCAACAAUAAGCAAAGGACGGAUAGGAUUAAUGGCUAGCCAGGAGAAGUUAGCAAAAGCCAACAACUGUACCCAGACUGCUGACUCCUCCCCUCACAUGCCAAGAAAAGAUUCCCAUAAAUUUAAUGCUUUCCUUCUUGAUUCGCUUGAAAUCAUAUUAUUUGAUCCGUAAAGUAUAAUUAGUAACCCUUCGUCUCAUCAGUAAGGGACGGCAGCCCAAGCUUUCUUAUUAUCUUAUAGAAUCUUUUUUGAUGUGUAUGAAUUAAUAUUUUUUUUUUUAUAUAUAAUUCCAUGGAUAAGAUCGAAGUUUAGAAUAUACUGCCUAUCACGACAGCAUCAAAAUUUGUAGACCCACCACCUCUCAAUGGCCCCACCAGGUUGAUAAGAAAAAUUCUAAACAAAGAAUUCGACUUCAUGAUUUUCAUGAGUUUGUAUUUUAUAAAAUGCUUCUAUUCUCCAUAUUCGAAUCACAAAUUUAAAAAAUUAAACUGAUUGAUUUAGUUUUUUUUACAAUUAAUAUUUUUAUUUUAUUUUUUUAUAGAAUUAUCUUGAUUUUAUGUAUUAAGUCAUGAGUUUUUUAGUUUGAUCCAAGUUGCCUACAACCAAUUUUUUUUCUUCAAUUUAUUUGUUAUUGUUAUUUUUUUAAUUAUAUUAUUAAAUUAAUUAAGAUUAUUGAAUCCAAUAUUAAAUGACUAAGCAUUUUUUGCGAUGAAAAAAAUAAUAAUCCUGCUCUUGACGUGGCUACCAAUCUAAUGGUCAUUAAAACUCAAAUUUCCAUCAUCAUGGUUUUAAAAAAAACCAAACCUUUUUUUUGGCCGAGGAAAGUUAGUUACUUUUGUGUUUAUUCCCUUCAAUUUUUAAAGAACAUGAAACUAUUAACUAGUUGACCCGCGCUGUGUUAUGCAUCGAGUUGAAAAUUUUCAACAUAAAAAAGAAUAUACAUACAUUGCAAUGUGUUUUGUAAUAGAAGAAAUGAUAAUUGUGAACUCCAGGCUCAAAGCACUCGUCUAAUAAUUGUUAUGCAUCUCUUUGUUUCGAUUUGGCUGGAUGAAGAAACUUCACCUUUGGAGCAAAUAUUCCUGUAAUUGUAGUCACCCUUCUUCUCUUGUUAUUGUGAAUCUCAUCCUUAGUAAAGGGAUGUAAGCCCAAGCUGCGCGGAUAUAUAGCGCUGUUUGGAGUAGCUUUCUAAACUGAGUUUUUUUUAAAAAUAUGAAUUGAUUUUUCUAUUUUUUUUAUUUUUUAAUCAUUUUAAAUUUUAAUAUUAAAAAUAAUUUAUAAAAAAUAAAAAAUAAAAAAAAUAUUAUUUUCAUAUAUUUAUAUAUAAAAAAUACUUUAAAAAUAAUCUCCACAAUAAUCCUAUACACACGCUAUAGUUUGAUAACUAUUAUAUUGGCCCAUGUUCCGCAACGAGUCAAUAAUAAAUUUUUUUUUAUCAAAUGUAGAUAAUAUUUUAAGUGUCUUAGGGUCUGACAAAAAGACUUACAGCUUCUAGCCCUUACUGAUUAGCCGGACCCAAUGCUGAUAAAUCCAAUUGGCAACAGAACCCAUCGCUGAUUGGUCUAGCUAUGCCAGACCCAAAGCUUUUGGGUCCUGUUGGGUGCAAAACCCAACGCUGAUAAAUCCAACUGGCAAUAGAACCCAUUGUUGAUGGGUCUAGCUACGCCAGACCCAAAGCUUUUGGGUCCUGCUGAGUGCAGGACCCAACACUGAUGGGUGUUGGGUCCUGCUGGCAGCAAAUACAAACCCUAUUGGGUGUAAAGUUGGUAGUAGGACCCAACCCAAUUGGAUGCAAAGUUGGUUGUAGCUAUAGAGCCACACCUAAUAACUAUGGGUAUGGUUGUGCAACCAUAUCCAAUAUCUUUGGGUCUGGCUACAGAGCCGCACCAAAAGCCUACUUGUAGUUUUUUUCUUGGCAGAGAUAAUUAAUAAUAAUAAUUUAUUUUACUUUUCAAAUUAAAUUUAUAUAUUUUUUUAAAUAGAAAUAAAAUUCAUUGCAAAUUUAAUAUAUUCAUGAAUUUAAUAAAAUUUAUAAUAUUAUUAAAUUUGUUUGGCCUAAGUUUUUAUAGUUUUUAACCCUUUCAAAUAAAAUUUAUUAUUUUUCUUUGAUAGUAAUAAUAUUGUUUUUCAAAUUCAUUAAUGAUAAUAAUAAUAAUAAUUUUUAAUUUUACUCUUCAAAUCAAAUAUAUGGUUGUUUUUCAAUAUUAAUGAUAUUUUUUUCAAAUUUAUUAAUUAUUAUAUUAAUAAUAUUAACUAUAAUAAAAAUAAUAAUAUUUAUAAUACAAAUAAUAAUAUUAAACUUGUUUGAUUCAAGUUUUUAUAUUUUUUAAUCUCUUCAAAUAAAAUUUAUGGUUUUUCUUCAAUAGUGAUAAUUUUUUUCUUUGAAUUUAUUAAUGAUACAAAUAACAAUAAAAAUAAUAUAAUAAUAAUAAUAUUUCCUCUUUACCCUUCGAGAAAAAAAAUAAGAUAAAAAAAAACACAUUAUAAUAUUGAGUCCUGCUAGUGGCAGGACCAACGCUUUUUGAUGGGCCUUGAUUGCCGCAGAACCGAAAGAUAAUGGGUCUUACAUGACCCAAUACCGAUGGGACCUGGAGGACCCAACGUCAUAGGAUCUUGCUGGCAACAAGACCUCAUGCCAUCGGGUCCAGGUGGUAGCAUGACCUAUCAGCCAAGACGUAAUGUUUGACUUACAAACAACAAAGAUAAUGCAUUUUAAUAUAGUAAAUAAAAAUAUAAUAUAUAAUAAGUAUAAUGUUUUAGAAAUAAUACAAAAUUAUGAAAAUAAUAUUAAUUUGAAGUAAAAAAAAUAAAUAAAUAAAAUUUAAAUUUCUCGGGUCUCGGCUCUUAGCCAAACACAAUCUGAAUAUAUACUUUUUAAGAAAAUAUUAAUAAUAAUAUAUAACUUGUCUGGCUCAAGUUCAUAUAUUUUUUAAUCUAUUCAAAAAAUAAUUAUGGUUUUUCUUUCAUAGUAAUAAUUUUUUUUAAAACUUUAUUAAUGAUGAUGAUAAUAAUAAUUUUUAUGUUUACAAUUCAAAUCAAAUCUAUUGUUGUUUUUCAAUAUUAAAUUUGUUUUUCAAAUUUGUUAAUUACUAUAUUAAUAAUAUUAAUUAUAAUAAAAAUAAGAAUAAUUUUAAUAUUAACAAUAUUAAUUAUAAUAAAAAUAACAACAUUUAUAAUACAAAUAAUAAUAUUUUUAAUAUUUAUAACAAUAUUAAACUUAUCAAAGAGUAAGUGGGUCUGAUUGCAACAUCAGGUCCAAGAGCUUUGCUCCCCUUAUAAAUGUCAGACCCAAGAGUAUUGGAUUUGGUUGCAAUCCGAACCUAUUAAAGCUGCAGCAUCAUUAAGUCAUGCUUGACAUAAUGAACCAACAACUAGGUACCCAUUGUGACCCAACAUCAUUGGGUCAUGCUUAACAGAAGGACCCAAUAGUGUUGGGUCCAGCUAGGCAGUUGAGUCUGGUAGCAGGGCCCACCGUUGCUGGGUCCUAGUUGCAGCAUGUUCCAACUUUAGUGGAUCCUGCUUGCAAGAGCAUUGGGUUGUCUAAAAAGAAAGACCCUUGAGCUUGGGGCCUGUCCUUUCAGCCAAACCCAAGCUUGGCUUCGAACGCCCGACACAAGUAUCUUGAGUCCGGUGCAACUGCAAGACCCAAGAGACUUGGAUCUGCGCUCCUACCUCUCCCAAGCAACUUCAAUCCAGUGUCCCUUUCCGGCCCCAAGUUUCUCGGGUCUGGAAGGGGAUGUCAAACCCAAGUUAAUAAUAAUAGUAAUAAUUUUUAAUUUUAAUCUUCAAAUCAAAUCUAUGGUUGUUUUUCAAUAUUAAUGAUAUUUUUUUCAAAUUUAUUAAUUAUUAUAUUAAUAAUAUUACUUGUAAUAAAAAUAAUAAUAUUAAUAAUAAUUUUAAACUUGUCUAACCCAAGUUUUUAUUUUUUUAAUCUCUUCAAAUAAAAUUUGUGGUUUUUAUUUUAUUGUAAUAAUUUUUUUUCUUUGAAUUUAUUAAUGAUAAAAAUAACAAUAAAAAUAAUAUAAUAAUAUACUAAUAAUAUUUUCUCUUUACCGUGUGAAAAAAAGAGAGAGAAAAAGAUAACACAUUAUAGUAUUGGCCUUUUCGUUCUUGCUGGGGGUAGGACCUAAUGUUUUUUUAGGGGUCUUGCUAGCCGCAAGACCCGAAGCUUAUGGGACUUGCAAGACCAAUAUUGAUGGGUCCUGGACGAUGGCCCACCGCUGCUGGGUAGCAGGGCCCAACAUCAUUGCGUCAUGCUUGGCAAAAAAACCUAGCAACGGUAGGUCCUACUCGUAGGCAGGGCCCACUGCUGUCAUGAGUUUGGUGACACAGACAAACCCAAUCUUAGCAUAAAUGUUUUAAAAAUAAUAUUUUAUGUUGUCAAUUUUUUUUUUGGAGAGCAACUUUUUAGAUUUCAUUUACUUUUUUUGUUAUCAAUUUGGAUGAAUUGAAGCAUUGUUGCUGAAACCAUCAAGCAACAUCAUGAAUUAUAUAUGCCAAUUAGGCCUUUUAAAAAGUUAGGAGCUAAUAAGGUUGAAGAAACAUUCAAUGGUUAUUUCAAGAUAUUUAAGCCUUAUUUCCUACAAGACUUACGGAUUCAACUUAUUUUCCUACUUACACGCGGAUUGGGCUUUAAAUUUUCUUGAUGAUUAUAAAAUCCUUAUUUUAUAUGGAGUUAAAAUAUAAUAGCAAUUAGAUAUUGAUAAAGCCUUACGAUAAAGAUUAAAAACUACUAUACAAUAAUUGCAUUAGUUUUCCAGUUAAUUUAGAAUUUUAUUUCAUUUUAUUUAGAAUUAUUUUGUUAUUUUUUUAGCAUUUCUCAUUUUACCUAGUAUAAAUAUUGUUAUUUAACUUAUAUUUAGUUUUUUUUUAAUAAUUUGAGACGGAUUGAUUAUUUAGAAUAUUAUUGUAUGUGAAAGAGUUUACUCAUAUUCUUGAUUCCUCAUGGAACUUUUUCAAAAACUUAUCAAAGAUCAACUCUUUUUAUGACAUCCAUCCUUAUACCUACAGUUCGUAGUUUGUUAUAAUCAACGGGUUGGGGUCUUAUCCAUAUACCUAUAUUUUUCAGUUUAUUACAAUCAACGGGUUGAGGUUUUAUCCUUUGAAACUUUUUCAAAAACUUAUCAAAGAUCAACUCUUUUUAUGAUAUCCAUCCUUAUACCUACAGUUCUUAGUUUGUUAUAAUCAACGGGUUGGAGUUUUAUCCAUAUACCUACAUUUUUCAGUUUAUUACAAUCAACGGGUUGAGGUUUUAUCCUUAUACCUUUAAUUAGUGGUUCAUUAUAAUCAUUAGGUUAAGUUUUUUCAUCCAAUAACUAUGAUUAUGUAGUUUAGAUAAUCACUAGGUUAGGUUCUUUUCAACUUGAUUUUAGCUUUUUUUUAUUGUUUUUUUUCUUACAUAAGGGUUUUCCUCUCUAAAUUCACAACAACAAUGUAUGUUUAUGUUGAAGUAGAAAUUCAUAUAAUUAUUUAUGGGCAUGAAAAGCCUUUGUAAUAAAACAACUUAAACCUAUUAUGAAAAAAUUCAAAACAAAUCUUGAAAAACCUAAAAAUAGUAAAAAUAACUUAGAUCUAUUGUAAUAAAAACCUAAAAAGCGAGGCCCAUAAGUAAUGUUGAUUUGAACAAGUUUUGAAACAAAAAAGAUUGAACAAGUCAAUCCAAUAGCUUUGAACUGAUUUUGGUUUCAAAACCUUAAAAAACUAAUUUUUUAUUAAAUUGUUUUUUUUUCUAGAAUCAAACUGAAUAAAAAAAACCUUACUGUCAACUCAAAAAACUCAUAACUGGUUUUAAAACAUAAAAUUUAACUUGAAAAAAAAACUUUUCCAGCCCUAAUUUAACCUAAUUUAAUUAGGUCACAGUUGGAUAAUGAAUUUGAAUGUUUUAAAUGGAACAAUUAAGUAAAACUCAAAUCCAACUUAUUUUAUUACCUUCCAUUGAUUAUUAUUAAAUGAGAAAUUCAAACAUGCUUGGUGUGUUUAGCAAAGGAGAAUGACAGAGUUGUACUAUGUACUUUUAAGUGUGGAAAAGUUACAACUCAUAGAAGACCGUUUGGUAGCGCGUUUGCACCUGUAUUUUGCCCAAAUUUGAAUUUUUUUUUUUUGUUAAAAUUGAGUUCGGUUUGUACUUUUUGGAUCAUUUUGAUAUGCUGAUGUCAAAAAUAAUUUUAAAAAAAUAAAAAAACAUCAUUGGCAUGUAUUUUGGCACAAAAAACUAUUUGAAAAGCAACCGCUACCACACUACCAAACACGCUAGGCACCCACUUAGUUGAAAAUAAACAAGAAAUUUUUAGUGUGAUCAAAACACAAGAAAUCAUUUAAUUAAGUUUAUAUUUUUCAUUCCAAUGUUUUUUACUAACAAUGCUGAAAUAUUUGAUGAAAGAUUUUCUCAUAAACUAUUUUUCAAUAUGUAUAAAUUCAACAAUAAAAAAUCUUUUUGGAUAAAAAUUAUUUUUGUGUGAAAAAUUAAAUUCUUUAAAGACUUGAUUAUAUAACUCUAAGUUUAGGCAUCUGAACUUAAGUUUACAUCCAAAAAAAUCUAUUUUGCUCUAAUUUGACAUAGUAGAAAAAUCCUUAUAAUAUCAAAUCUUGACAUAUAUAUUAAAUUCACUAAAUUGUUGUUUAAAUUAUGUUUAUUUUUACGUUUUAAAAAUGUUUUUAAAAAAUUUUGAACUUUUUUUAUUUACUUCAAAUUAAUAUGUUUUUGGUGUUUUUAAAUUAUUUUGAUGCACUGAUAUCAAAAUUAAUUUUUAAAAAUUAAAAAAUAUUUUGAAAAACAAUUACAACUACACUCAAAAUCUUUUAACUAGCAACAAUGAAAAUGAAAAGGAUUCCAACUUUGUGGAACGUGAAGAGGAAGGAAUUGCACACGACAAGAGAACAAAAAACAAAUUAUGGUAAUAAGGUUUAGUUUUCAAUCAAAGAAGAGAGACUGCGAUUUUUAGAGAGAGAAAGUAGGAUAAAGAAGAGAGUGUGGGUGUGUGAUCUAUCAUUCAAUUGGUUUUCUCAUAUAUUAUACAUAAAGACAAUUUGGAUAUUUUAUCAUUUUUUUAAUUUUUAUUUGAUAAAGAAUGUAGAGUAUAAUUUCAAAAAGUAAUAGGGUAAAGUGAAAUAUAAUCAAAUCAUAAGAGUAAGAGGAUUUUUUUUGUAAUUAUUUCUUAAUAAAAGAAGAAACCUAUAAUCCAGAUUCUCGAAAAAAAAAAGAAGGUAAAAAGUGAAGAGUGACUGGGUGACCGUAUGAGUCUUUAAAGGAAAAGAAAAAGGGAUAAAAAUACAAUACUAAAAAAAUAAAAAGAGAGAGAAAUGAAAAAAAUGAAUAUGUUUUUUUCUUUUUCUUUUUCUUUUUUAAAUAAAAAAGCGAAAGGAGGUGUGAAAGCACGUAGGAAAGCAUGUUUAAUGCCAGUUUCUCGAACCUACUGGUAUUUAGAUAAUGAGAAUGAUGUUUUUGUCAUCACCAUCGAAAUUUCCAUGUCAUCGUUGACGUAUGAUAAUUCCCUAAGCGUGCUGUGCAAGUAACUUAAAAGGAACCAUCCCAGUUUGUACCAAUAAAUACUAAAUAGCAUUUGGAAUCCGCAAUUGUUCUAGUCUUUUGAGUAGUUCAUCACUUAACAAUGGCCAACGAAGACGUUUCGCACGACCUUUCAUCCCUUCUUUCGUCGGAAGAGAGGGACUUUCUCAUCCGCAACAAUGGUGACCAGGUACUGCUUUUAGCUUAUGGAUUUCUCUGGUCUUAUGCGAUCUACUUCUACUUGUCUUAUUAAACUUGCAGGUUUUUCUCGUAAUUAGGAUGGAUAUCAUGUUUAAAUUAGACUGCGAACCUUGCUCAAGAACAAGUUUAUGACCAAUUUCUAGAGCUUUUAUGAUUCAGAAAAGCCUCAAUUUUUGUUUACCCUCUUGAUUUAUGGGCUAAUUUUUUUUUUUUCUGAUUAUGCUCGACACUAAUUUUUAGGUUACGGUCAGCAAUUUGGUUGGGAAGAUUGUGGGAUUCUAUUUCUCUGGUUCGUGGUGCGGGCCGUGCCGCAAUUUCACUCCGUUGUUGGUAGAAGUCUAUGAACAGCUAUCAUCCAAAGGGGACUUCGAGGUGGUCUUCAUUUCUUCUGACGGAGACGAUGAAUCCUUCAACACAUACUUCUCCGAAAUGCCAUGGCUUGCUAUUCCCUUCUCUGAUACGGAGACCCGCCAACGUCUUCAGGAAUUGUUCAAAGUAAGAGGGAUCCCUAAACUCGUCAUUUUUGAUACUAAUGGUAAGGUUUCCUGCGAUAAUGGAGUCAGACCUGUCAAGGAACAUGGCGUGGAUGGGUAUCCGUUCAACCUUGAUAGACUGAAUUUCCUUAAAGAGCAAGAAGAGAAUGCUAAGAAGAAUCAAACCAUAAGCUCUAUCUUGGUUUCCAGCUCACGUGAUUAUGUGAUUUCAAAUGAUGGAAAAAAGGUAGAUGUUUCAUUCAAUU
rnacentral:lncRNA from 1 species